GACGAACGCUGGCGGCGUGCUUAACACAUGCAAGUCGAACGGAAAGGCCCUGCUUUUGUGGGGUGCUCGAGUGGCGAACGGGUGAGUAACACGUGAGUACCUGCCCUUGACUUUGGGAUAACUUCAGGAAACUGGGGCUAAUACCGGAUAGGGGCUCCUGCUGCAUGGUGGGGGUUGGAAAGUUUCGGCGGUUGGGGAUGGACUCGCGGCUUAUCAGCUUGUUGGUGGGGUAGUGGCUUACCAAGGCUUUGACGGGUAGCCGGCCUGAGAGGGUGACCGGCCACAUUGGGACUGAGAUACGGCCCAGACUCCUACGGGAGGCAGCAGUGGGGAAUAUUGCACAAUGGGCGGAAGCCUGAUGCAGCAACGCCGCGUGCGGGAUGACGGCCUUCGGGUUGUAAACCGCUUUCGCCUGUGACGAAGCGUGAGUGACGGUAAUGGGUAAAGAAGCACCGGCUAACUACGUG
rnacentral:rRNA from 1 species